rnacentral:rRNA from 1 species
UACGAAGGGGGCUAGCGUUGCUCGGAAUUACUGGGCGUAAAGGGCGCGUAGGCGGACAGUUUAGUCAGAGGUGAAAGCCCAGGGCUCAACCUUGGAAUUGCCUUUGAUACUGGCUGUCUUGAGUUCGGGAGAGGUGAGUGGAAUGCCGAGUGUAGAGGUGAAAUUCGUAGAUAUUGGGAAGAACACCGGUGGCGAAGGCGGCUCACUGGCUCAUUUCUGACGCUCAGGCGCGACAGCGUGGGGAUCAAACAGG